rnacentral:rRNA from 1 species
UAGUGGCAGACGGGUGAGUAAUGUAUAGGAAUCUACCUAGUAGUACGGAAUAAUUGUUGGAAACGGCAACUAAUACCGUAUACGCCCUACGGGGGAAAAAUUUAUUGCUAUUAGAUGAGCCUAUAUUAGAUUAGCUAGUUGGUGGAGUAAUAGCCUACCAAGGCAAUGAUCUAUAGCUGAUCUGAGAGGAUGAUCAGCCACACUGGAACUGAGAUACGGUCCAGACUCCUACGGGAGGCAGCAGUGGGGAAUAUUGGACAAUGGGCGAAAGCCUGAUCCAGCCAUGCCGCAUGAGUGAAGAAGGCCUUUGGGUUGUAAAGCUCUUUUAGUGAGGAAGAUAAUGACGGUACUCACAGAAGAAGUCCUGGCUAACUCCGUGCCAGCAGCCGCGGUAAUACGGAGAGGGCUAGCGUUAUUCGGAAUUAUUGGGCGUAAAGGGCGCGUAGGCGGAUUAGUAAGUUAAAAGUGAAAUCCCAAGGCUCAACCUUGGAAUUGCUUUUAAAACUGCUAAUCUAGAGAUUGAAAGAGGAUAGAGGAAUUCCUAGUGUAGAGGUGAAAUUCGUAAAUAUUAGGAGGAACACCAGUGGCGAAGGCGUCUAUCUGGUUCAAAUCUGACGCUGAGGCGCGAAGGCGUGGGGAGCAAACAGGAUUAGAUACCCUGGUAGUCCACGCUGUAAACGAUGAAUGUUAAAUAUGGGAAGUUUUACUUUCUGUAUUACAGCUAACGCGUUAAACAUUCCGCCUGGGGACUACGGUCGCAAGAUUAAAACUCAAAGGAAUUGACGGGGACCCGCACAAGCGGUGGAGCAUGUGGUUUAAUUCGAUGCAACGCGAAAAACCUUACCACU